CCCUNCGGGGGGGGAGCAGUGGGGAAUAUUGGACAAUGGGCGCAAGCCUGAUCCAGCCAUGCCGCGUGUGUGAAGAAGGNCUUCGGNUUGUAAAGCACUUGAAGUGGGGAGGAAGGGGUNCANGUUAAUACNUUUUNNANUUGACGUUACCAACAGAAUAAGCACCGGCUAACUUCGUGCCAGCAGCCGCGGUAAUACGAAGGGUGCAAGCGUUAAUCGGAAUUACUGGGCGUAAAGCGCGCGCAGGUGGUUUGUUAAGUNGGAUGUGAAAUCCCCGGGCUCAACCUGGGAACUGCAUCCANAACUGCCAGGCUAGAGUAUGGUAGAGGGGGGUGGAAUUUCAGGUGUAGCGGUGAAAUGCGUAGANAUAGGAAGGAACACCAGUGGCGAAGGCGNCCCCCUGGACAAANACUGACACUNAGGUGCGAAAGCGUGGGGAGCAAACAGGAUUAGAUACCCUGGUAGUCCACGCCGUAAACGAUGUCGAAUGNNGUUGGUGCCCUUGAGGUGUNAGUCCGCAGCUAACGCGNUAANUNG
rnacentral:rRNA from 1 species